rnacentral:rRNA from 1 species
AUUGAACGCUGGCGGCAUGCCUUACACAUGCAAGUCGAACGGCAGCAUAGGAGCUUGCUCCUGAUGGCGAGUGGCGAACGGGUGAGUAAUAUAUCGGAACGUGCCCUAGAGUGGGGGAUAACUAGUCGAAAGACUAGCUAAUACCGCAUACGAUCUACGGAUGAAAGUGGGGGAUCGCAAGACCUCAUGCUCCUGGAGCGGCCGAUAUCUGAUUAGCUAGUUGGUGGGGUAAAAGCUCACCAAGGCGACGAUCAGUAGCUGGUCUGAGAGGACGACCAGCCACACUGGGACUGAGACACGGCCCAGACUCCUACGGGAGGCAGCAGUGGGGAAUUUUGGACAAUGGGGGCAACCCUGAUCCAGCAAUGCCGCGUGAGUGAAGAAGGCCUUCGGGUUGUAAAGCUCUUUUGUCAGGGAAGAAACGGUUCUGGAUAAUACCUGGGACUAAUGACGGUACCUGGAGGAUAAGCACCGGCUAACUACGUGCCAGCCGCCGCAGUAA